GUGUCAAAAGUCAAUUUGGAUUUUUCUUCUUAUGAAACCUUUAUUAACCUUUAUAAAAAAAAUAAAAAAUAAAAAAAUUUAAUGGUCACAUAUAUGGAAAAGGGUGGCUGGCCAUGUGCUAUUUUAGAGUGGUGUGAACCCAAUUUUAUAAAAUUCAAAUCCCAUUUAAUUAAGAAGUCAAGUGGGCAAGUGGGUAGAAAAGCACUCAAGUGUUUUGUGAUAUUUUGAAGAGUUGUGUGAGCCAUUCUAACCCCCAAAUCCGACCACUCUCCCUCCCUCAUUCACUCUCAUCUGAUUUUUGAAGACUCUCUCAAGUGUUCUCUCCAUUUGCAACCCCAAAAACACCAAAGAAACUUGGAAGCUAAGUCUUGGUCUAGGAAGGGUUUUCCCUAAGUUUGUUAGGGUUUUUGAAAGGUUUUGAAGGAGUCAAAGCUUAUAGGAAGGUCCAAACCUUAAGCAAGAACACCAAAGAGGUAAGAGCAAGGGCAAGGCAGAGCAGUGAGCGCUGGAGUCUUCCUUGCAAAUGUACAUGUGGACCGACCUUUUGGGAAGCCGCUUUAUUUUUGGAAAUGUUGUGUAAUUUUCCUAAACUAGGCUCACUCUACUCUUUAUAAAAUAUGUUGAAACUAAAUGUUAAGUA